rnacentral:lncRNA from 1 species
AUCAGCAUUGGAAUUUAUCGAAUCCCAAAUUCUUGCAAUCCUAAUCUUUAUUUUUCAAUUUUGUUUUUCCAAUGAUAGAUCCAAGAGCAUAUUGUAUUCCAUUAUUUCGAUCACUCUGCACGAACAAAUUUUUAAAAAAAAAGUGAUGUACGGGGUUACAAUACAUAUGGUUAUAUGAUCAUAUAAGUAUAUAACAAUUUUUUAAAUGAUGAAGCACCUUGAGGCAAGUCCGAAAAAAUUUUCUUGAAGACUAUAUUCUUUGUAUAAUUUUCAUAUCCUUUAUGAUUAUUUUUUAUCAAAAUCUUCAAACCGUUGCAUGAGAUAACAC